CAAUGAUGAUGUCACUGAUUCUACUGCUGGCCACCCUGGGGCUCCUUGUUCAGGAUUCAUCAGGAGAAAUCAUCCUGACUCAGUCUCCUGGAGCUCAGUCUGUUGUUCUAGGACAGACUUUCUCUCUCAGAUGUAAAGCCAGUUCACAUGUUAGCAAUGAGGUAGAGUGGUACCUUCAGAAACCUGGAGAAGCCCUUAAACUCCUGAUUUACUGGGCUACAAACCGUCAGUCUGGAGUUUCAGACCGUUUCAGUGGGAGUCAGUCUGGAACUGACUUCACUUUGACCAUCAGAGGAGUCCAGACUGAAGAUGCUGGAGUUUAUUACUGUCAGCAGGAUUACAGUCGUCCGUUCACACAGUGAUACAACGUCGUACAAAAACCUCCCUCAGCUGGAGAGGAACUGAUCUGAAUCAACAGCUGCAGAGUUAUAGAAACACUUUAGUAAUUUACUGACAAUGAAGUCCAACACAUUAAAACUAGUUUUUUUCUGACAUGAAUUUUCAUGUUUCCUUUAUAAAUUAGAUUUAAAAUAAAUCAGAUGUAACUUGAAAUUCACACGUUUUAUAUUGAAGUCACACAGAUUUCAACAAACUUAAACACACAUGCUGUAUUUUGAGACAAAACUACUAAUUCUGACACUGUUGUGAUAUAAUAUGCUGAUAAUUGAAAUGCAACAAAUUUAUCAUAGACUUUAAUCAGAUUCAUGAAACUUUCAAGACAUUAAACCCAUUUCAACAUGAGAGUUUCCACCAAUAGCACUCUUCAUUUAUAAGACACAUAUUGUAAAUCUGAUUUACCUUGAACUAGUUUAAAAAAAUAGCUUUGUCACUAAAAAACUAAUUUGCAGUUUGUGUAAUGAAGCAGUUUCUGCUGUCUAGCUUUAAGGAAUCUCGAACAAAUAAUGUCUUGGUUGCUUUAAUGUUACAUUAAUGAUUAUCUGAUUAAUUCCUCUGAAAACAUUACGUAAUUUAAACGCUGCAUUAAAUUAUUUUAUAAUUUAAAA